rnacentral:rRNA from 1 species
CCUACGGGAGGCAGCAGUGGGGAAUUUUCCGCAAUGGGCGAAAGCCUGACGGAGCAACGCCGCGUGAGGGAUGAAGGCCUCUGGGCUGUAAACCUCUUUUCUCAAGGAAGAAGAUCUGACGGUACUUGAGGAAUAAGCCACGGCUAAUUCCGUGCCAGCAGCCGCGGUAAUACGGGAGUGGCAAGCGUUAUCCGGAAUUAUUGGGCGUAAAGCGUCCGCAGGCGGUCCAGAAAGUCUGCUGUUAAAAAGUGGAGCUUAACUCCAUCAUGGCAGUGGAAACUACUGGACUAGAGUGUGGUAGGGGCAGAGGGAAUUCCCGGUGUAACGGUGAAAUGCGUAGAUAUCGGGAAGAACACCAGUGGCGAAGGCGCUCUGCUGGGACAUAACUGACGCUCAUGGACGAAAGCCAGGGGAGCGAAAGGGAUUAGAUACCCCUGUAGUCCUGGCCGUAAACGAUGAACACUAGGUGUCGGGGGAAUCGACCCCCUCGGUGUCGUAGCCAACGCGUUAAGUGUUCCGCCUGGGGAGUACGCACGCAAGUGUGAAACUCAAAGGAAUUGACGGA